rnacentral:rRNA from 1 species
GAUGAACGCUGGCGGCGUGCCUAAUACAUGCAAGUAGAACGCUGAAGGAGGAGCUUGCUCUUCUGGAUGAGUUGCGAACGGGUGAGUAACGCGUAGGUAACCUGCCUGGUAGCGGGGGAUAACUAUUGGAAACGAUAGCUAAUACCGCAUAACAACAGUUAUUGCAUGAUAACUGUUUAAAAGGGGCAACUGCUCCACUACCAGAUGGACCUGCGUUGUAUUAGCUAGUUGGUGAGGUAACGGCUCACCAAGGCGACGAUACAUAGCCGACCUGAGAGGGUGAUCGGCCACACUGGGACUGAGACACGGCCCAGACUCCUACGGGAGGCAGCAGUAGGGAAUCUUCGGCAAUGGACGGAAGUCUGACCGAGCAACGCCGCGUGAGUGAAGAAGGUUUUCGGAUCGUAAAGCUCUGUUGUAAGAGAAGAACGAGUGUGAGAGUGGAAAGUUCACACUGUGACGGUAUCUUACCAGAAAGGGACGGCUAACUACGUG